rnacentral:lncRNA from 1 species
GGGUCAGGAAGCACAGUGAAGAGGAGCUGUGAAAAAAAGAAGAUCAGAUUGUGUUUUUAUUUUGUGGACUGAAAAAAAAAAAAACAAAAUCUGAGAAAGAAGAGAAGCGAAAGAAGAUGAUAAAUUAGUGGAUCCUACAGAUUAUGUUUUAGUUAUACUUUAGUUAAUAAUGAAUGGAAUAUGUUAAGAAAAGUUAAGAAAAAGUGUCUUAGAAGUAGAAAGUUAGAAACUGUCUUAUUAUGUUAUAAAAAA